ensembl:lncRNA
CAGGCUCUGGGUCUGCCGUCUUUCACUGAUGAUUUUGUGUUUCUCCGCUUCAGUUGGAGCUCCUUCAUCUGUAAGGAGUCAUUUCUUUUUCUUCACAAUAGGAAGGAAUCUUCACAGACAUCAGUUAUACAGGCUGCUCUCCAGGCCCUGAAAGUCGAGGCUGACCUGGACUCAUGUCCUCCUCUUUCCCACCCCUUACGUGACCCUGGAAUACACCCACUCUGCAUGUUCACAGGGAGGAUUUCACCAUUUCCAGUAUUGACUGGUAAGGCCAAAAGUUCAAACAUGCUUUUCUUUAGUCAGACUUAUGUCCAGUAAAUUUACUGGUUUAAGACUUAAUGUGUAAAUUAAACAUAAAUUUGAUCUCCUGACAUGAUGGUAUUACAAUCACACAGACAGAAUGUGACUAUGCAAUGAUGAAAUACAGCCCUGUGACCCCUGCCUUGGCUUAUGAGUGGAAGCUGGGGGAGGCGCCACUCACUGAAAGCUUUUUACAAACCACACGUGACUGCAUGCCUCCAGAUGCCUGUUUAAUGGCCGCUGAGAGUGUGCACUGCACAUCACACUAUGCUUUACAGGGCCCUGAUGAGAGAUAAGACUCAUUAUAUUAUAAGGCGCAUUAUAUUAUACUGUACAAUAUAAAGCGACUUGAGGCGACUUUUGUUGUGAUUUGGCGCUAUAUAAAUAAAAUUGAAUUGAUUGAAUAGAUAGGAGGAGGAGUGGUACAGAGUUAAAAAUGAUAGCCUAACAGUGAAAUGUUUGUUUUGGAGUCCCACAUUUGCUGCAGUCGCAGCAGUCGCAGCAAAUGUGACUGCACCAACUUUAGGAUGGGAAAAAGGGUGGAUGUAUGUGUUUUUUAGCAGGAUCGGGGAAUGACAGUGACAAGAGGAGGGAAAGAUGUUCUAGGUUCACAUGAGCUUGUGGGCCCUGCAGACUUUAGCUGCAUCACUGAGUCUUGUAGAGAAAAGCUACGUGUUUACUAGCUGCUUGUUGCUUAUAAAGCCACACUGUAGAGUGGAAAAUGCCAAGUGUCACAGUUAAAAAGAAGAAAAAAGUGCUGUGUUAAAACCAGCAUCACUUCUCCCACAGGAGCGUGUGGUUAACCACAUGGCUUUAUAGCAGCCAUAUCUGGAAUCUGUUUAUCCAGACCUGACCUGCAGGACACACAGUUGGUUAAUGUUUUUCUCCUGAUUCAGCCUCACACAGACAGACACCAGUGAAAAUAAAGCAGGAUGUGCAGUGAUCACAGAACGUCUCAGUGUUGAGCUCAUUAUCAUAUCACUGCUCGUCUCAAGCUGUUGAGCUGUUGAGUGACUUCCUCACUUGUUUUCACACUAUUUACAGUCAUUUUGAAUAAGCACAUGGGAUGAUCCAUGAUUGAACAAAUUAUGGAAGCAAUAGUGUUUUUGCUGAUUUAGGAAAAUCCAUUGCACAUGAGAAACUUGUGGCUGGAUGGCUUAUUAAUCCUUUGACUUACAGUUGUUUGUAAAUGUGACG